rnacentral:rRNA from 1 species
AUGUUAGCGGCGGACGGGUGAGUAACACGUGGGUAACCUACCUAUAAGACUGGGAUAACUUCGGGAAACCGGAGCUAAUACCGGAUAACAUUUGGAACCGCAUGGUUCUAAAGUGAAAGAUGGUUUUGCUAUCACUUAUAGAUGGACCCGCGCCGUAUUAGCUAGUUGGUAAGGUAACGGCUUACCAAGGCGACGAUACGUAGCCGACCUGAGAGGGUGAUCGGCCACACUGGAACUAAGACACGGUCCAG